rnacentral:tRNA from 1 species
CUUAGCUCAGUUGGUAGAGCGCGGAGCUUUUAACUCCGUGGUCGUGGGUUCGAGCCCCACA